CAGCAGCCGCGGGAAUACGUAGGCAGCGAGCGUUGUUCGGAAUUACUGGGCGUAAAGAGUGUGUAGGCGGUGCUAUAAGUUCGGUGUGAAAUCUCCCGGCUCAACUGGGAGGGUGCGCCGAAAACUGUAGUGCUCGAACGUGGGAGAGGAAAGCGGAAUUCCUGGUGUAGCGGUGAAAUGCGUAGAUAUCAGGAGGAACACCUGCGGUGUAGACGGCUUUCUGGACCAUUGUUGACGCUGAGACACGAAAGCGUGGGUAGCAAACAGGAUUAGAUACCCGUGUAGUCCCUGUCUCUUAUAC
rnacentral:rRNA from 1 species